UGCUGGCCGCUGCAUGGGACAGCGAAGACUCCGAUUGUUCAACAAGCAAAGCUUUUGGGAAGUCCAGCGACCCGUUGUCGGGUCUAAGACUGGGCCAAGAUUCUCUACUGCAAAGCCCAACACGGGACGACCUGGGACCCUGGGACCUACACCAGAGACCUGGCGACACGCGGGCCCAGGCUACGGGGUCUUCAUGUAAGACGCUAUGCGUGACGAAAGCUCUCGUGUCGCUUCUCGCCGCUAAUCCUGCACUUUUUCGACAACCUGGAGUGGAAUGUUCCCCGGGAGGUACAGGCUACAGCUUCGUGUCCCCCGCCCUGCAGCUCUGCAACGCCCUCAGCGCCUGCGCCGUCAGCAGCAACCUCAACGUCUCUGCUCGUACCUGGUCUCUGCGUCAUC